rnacentral:rRNA from 1 species
CCUACGGGAGGCAGCAGUGAGGAAUAUUGGUCAAUGGGCGUAAGCCUGAACCAGCCAAGUCGCGUGAGGGAUGAAGGUUCUAUGGAUCGUAAACCUCUUUUAUAAGGGAAUAAAGUGUGGGACGUGUCCUGUUUUGUAUGUACCUUAUGAAUAAGGAUCGGCUAACUCCGUGCCAGCAGCCGCGGUAAUACGGAGGGUCCGAGCGUUAUCCGGAUUUAUUGGGUUUAAAGGGUGAGUAGGCGGCCUUUUAAGUCAGCGGUGAAAGUCUGUGGCUCAACCAUAGAAUUGCCGUUGAAACUGGGAGGCUUGAGUAUGUUUGAGGCAGGCGGAAUGCGUGGUGUAGCGGUGAAAUGCUUAGAUAUCACGCGGAACCCCGAUUGCGAAGGCAGCCUGCCAAGCCAUGACUGACGCUGAUGCACGAAAGCGUGGGGAUCAAACAGGAUUAGAUACCCCUGUAGUC